GUGAGGAAUAUUGGUCAAUGGGCGCAAGCCUGAACCAGCCAUGCCGCGUGCAGGAAGACGGUCCUAUGGAUUGUAAACUGCUUUUAUUUGGGAAUAAACUCCGGUACGUGUACCGGCCUGAAGGUACCAAAUGAAUAAGCACCGGCUAACUCCGUGCCAGCAGCCGCGGUAAUACGGAGGGUGCAAGCGUUAUCCGGAAUCAUUGGGUUUAAAGGGUCCGCAGGCGGUCUCAUAAGUCAGUGGUGAAAGCCUACAGCUCAACUGUAGAACUGCCAUUGAUACUGUAGGACUUGAAUUCGAUAGAAGUGGGCGGAAUGUGACAUGUAGCGGUGAAAUGCUUAGAUAUGUCACAGAACACCGAUAGCGAAGGCAGCUCACUAGGUCUGGAUUGACGCUCAGGGACGAAAGCGUGGGGAGCAAACAGGAUUAGAAACCCUGGUAGUCC
rnacentral:rRNA from 1 species